GAUGAAGAACGUAGCGAAAUGCAAUAAGUAGUGUGAAUUGCAGAAUUCCGUGAAUCAUCGAAUCUUUGAACGCACAUUGCGCCCCCUGGUAUUCCGGGGGGCAUGCCUGUCCGAGCGUCAUUACAACCCUCAAGCUCAGCUUGGUGUUGGGCCCCGCCGCCCCGGCGGGCCCUAAAGUCAGUGGCGGUGCCGUCCGGCUCCGAGCGUAGUAAUUCUUCUCGCUCUGGAGGUCCGGUCGUGUGCUCGCCAGCAACCCCCAAUUUUUUUCAGGUUGACCUCGGAUCAGGUAGGGAUACCCGCUGAACUUAAGCAUAUCAAUAAGCGGAGGA
rnacentral:misc_RNA from 1 species